UUCACCAUCACUGACUUCAGAGCUGAACACAGUGGGAAUUAUUACUGUGAAGCCCAGAACAGCAGAGGACGCCAUAACUCCACUUUACAUCUGACUGUUGCAACAGAUAAAUCAGCUAUGAUAAUAAAUAUCAUCAGGUUCAUUCUGACGGUUGUGAUGCUGAUUCCUCUGCUUCUUCUCUGUCUGCGGAUGAGGAAGAUGAAAACUCUGACGUCCACAAAUGAACCAGAAGAAACUGUGGAGUUGGACGAUUAUCCUGUGUACGAGAACAGGCCAAACGCUGCAGCACAGAGAGAGGACACAGAGGAGCAGGAAGACCUGG